UAUAUAUAUAUAUAUAUUUUAAUUGGGGUAGCCACCAAAAUAUUGGUACAUAUAAGAUAAGACAACUGUGUUCCGCAGAGUAGCUGUUGACAUUAUAGUUGCGCUGGAACUUUGUUGACUAGAGAACCUCGGACAAAUCGCACAUCCCCGUGGCAGCAACUUUGCAUGCGGAUGUCAUCCAUAUCAACUUUCGAUGCCAGUUUCUGCGCCUACCAUGGUGACCACGGGUAACGGGGAAUCACGAUUCCAUUCCAUACAGGGACCCUGAGAAACUGCUACGACAUGCAAGGAAGGCAGUAGUCGCGCAAAUGGCCCACUCCCGACGCGAGAAAGUAGUGA